rnacentral:rRNA from 1 species
CCAGCAGCUGCGGUAAUUCCAGCUCCAAUAGCGUAUAUUUAAGUUGUUGCAGUUAAAAAGCUCGUAGUUGGAUUUCGGGCGGGUGACGGCGGUCCGCCUCUGGUGUGCACUGCUGCUCAUCCGCCUUACUGUCGGGGACGGGCUCCUGGGCUUCACUGUCCGGGACCCGGGUUCGACAUGGUUACUUUGAGUAAAUUAGAGUGUUCAAAGCAGGCGUUCGCCCUGAAUACAUUAGCAUGGAAUAGCACGAUAGGACUCUGGCCUAUUCUGCUGGUCUGUAGGACCGGAGUAAUGAUUAAGAGGGACAGUCGGGGGCAUUCGUAUUGCGCUGUCAGAGGUGAAAUUCUUGGAUUUGCGCAAGACGAACAUCUGCGAAAGCAUUUGCCAAGGAUGUUUUCAUUAAUCAAGAACGAAAGU